ACUUCUCCCUUCCUGUACGCUCCACACCCUGUGUUUAGUUUUUAAGGAUUCCUUUAAAAUGAAGUCAAUAAGAACUGUUCACUAUGGAAGGACCCAACCGUUUUGACUUCUAGGUGAAUCUGCUAGUCACACUUGCCAUGUUUAUCUAAUCAGCACUUGGUGUGUAUGUUCAAUGCCAUCUGGUGGUGAGCUGAGUUGGGGGUCACAGUGUUGAGGUUGCCAAAAGGACUUAUUUAAGUGAAUGGAAAGCAGAAAAAGAAACAUGCUGCAGCAGAAUAUACUGUUUUGUAUCAGGCUGUGAAAUCAUAGUCACAUAAAUUCAGCAAGGAGAUGCACAGAAAGGACUAAUUAUUUCUGAAUAAAGUAUGUGGUUUAUUUUUGGUAAUUGAGGCAUGAUAGUUAUCAUAGCUACCCAUUUAUUUGUAAGUUACACUUGCAUUCUAGCUUCAGAACUCAAAACUCACAUCUCAUUCUAGUGCUCUAGUGGAGUAAGCUCUCACAUCUGAGAUGUUCUGGGGAUCCUACUGUGACAAUGGUCUCAGGAGGGGCAGUGUCUGCUUCUGUUAGCAUCAGGAAUCCACCAUCCUCUUCUUAGAAUUGUUUGGAGUGGGCUGGUUUCCAUUUUUACCUGCCCCAUGAGUAUUGGAGAUUGAACCUAGGGCCUGUGCACACAGCACUCUACCACUGGCUAUUAAUUCAUCUGAAGUAAUAUUCUUUUUUUCUUUCUUUUUGGUUUUUCGACACAGGGUUUCUCUGUAUAGCCCUGGCUGUCCUGGAACUCACUCUGUAGACCAGGCUGGCCACAAACUCAGAAAUCCGCCUGCCUCUGCCUCCCGAGUGCUGGGAUUAAAGGCAUGAGCCACCACGCCCAGCUUGAAGUAAUAUUCUUUAAGGUCACCUAUCUCCAGACACUUACUUUAGUCAAUGACUUUUUCCAAACAGAUCUUUUUGUUGAUAGGUGGUCAACCUUAGUGCUGUUGCGCUCAUCACACUGUAUCUGGCACAGCACAGGAAAUCCUAUGGCCUGGUGGCUUAUAUUGUGAGUACCAGUCCUCAUAUCUAUUCUUUUUUAUAUACUUUGAGAAUAUUGUCCAGGCUGAUGCCUGUACUUGUGCAGUUUUGCUUAUUUCUUGAGGUGUGGUUUCCUUUCGGCUUCAGUUUUAUGUUUUACUCUUUUACACAUAUUUAUUUUGACAUUUAUCAUGACACACCUAUGGAGGUCAGUGGACAACUUUCAGGAAUUGAUUCUCUCCUUUUACCAUAAGAGCACAGGAUGAACAAACUCAGGUCAUCAGGGUCAGGGCAAGGACCUUUGCCCACUGAGCCAUUUCACUGGCCCAGUUUUAUAUUUUUAAAACCUGUUUGCUUGGGCAUUUUCAUUUUGUUGUUCUUCUCCAAGUUAAUAUAUGUAAAAUUAAGACCCUUUAUCUCCAUUCUUGCAUCAUGCCUCUUCACGUAACUUAUUGUUCAUACAUGAGAACUUUCAAAUCAAGUGUUCAGUUUAGUACUGCAGGAAGUUUCACAGAAACUAACAGACCACUAACAGGUGUCUAAAUGAUCAUUUAGCCGGUCUAGAAUUGUUAUGAAGUAGCAUACUUUUGAAUGCCAUGUUUGUUUAUAAUGUGGUAUUGUUAGGUGAUUGCCUAAACAGGGCACAGUUGGUUGAGAUAAUACUGGUAGCUGUGGUCUGAACCUGUUUCUAUAACUCUUAAUAAUUUUUUGAAUUUUUAAAAUUUUAUUUGUGUGUUUUGCCUGUAUGUAUGUGCAUGCAUCACAAUCAUGCAUGGUACCUGAGGAGGUCAGAAAGGAUGUUAGCUUUCCUGGGACUGGAGUUUCAGAUGGUUGUCAGUCAUCAUAUGAGUACUGGGAAUGGAAACUGUUCUCUGAAAGAAUAGUCAGUGUUCUUCUGAGCCUUUGCACCAUGAGAAAUGUUCAAGUGUAACAGACCUGUCCACCAGAGACUUAAUAUUUACUUCCCACUUAAAAGGUAAUGAGUGGAUUCUCCUGUAAUCUCAAUAUUGGUGGGUAUAAAUGAUACUGGAAAUAACUGUAGCUAGCCAAGAAAAUCACAAGUUUCUUUUUUCCUUAUACUGCCUGCCUGUCUGUGCCUGUCUGUCUGUCUUUCUCUCUCUUCCCCCUGCCCCAACCCCCUUCUCUUUCAAGACAGGGUUUCUCUGUGUAGCCCUGGCUGUCUUCAAACUCAAAAAGAUCAGUCUGCCUCUGCCUCCUGAGUGCUGGAAUUAAAGGUGUGCCCCAUUACUGCUUGGCUGUGUCUGUGGCCAGCAUUCAUAAUCAGGGAACUGUCACAUUUCAGACAGGUUAAUGAAAAUCAGGAUGUUGUUUUCUUCUUCAUUCACAAUGUCCCUGAAUUUAUCUAUAUAUGAGUGUGAAAGGAUGCAUGUGGGUUCAUAUGGAAAUCAGAGGAUAAUUUUCAGGAGUCAGUUCUCUCCUUCCCUGCAAAAGACUAUCAAUUUGUCAAAAACAAACAAACAAACUAAAACAAAACAAAACCACCCCCCCAC
rnacentral:lncRNA from 1 species